rnacentral:rRNA from 1 species
UAAUACGGAGGGGGCGAGCGUUAUUCGGAAUUAUUGGGCGUAAAGGGCGCGUAGGCGGCCCGGUAAGUCAAAGGUGAAAUCCCUCGGCUCAACUGAGGAAUUGCCUUUGAAACUGCCAGGCUCGAGGCCGGGAGGGGGUAGCGGAAUUCCCAGUGUAGCGGUGAAAUGCGUAGAUACUGGGAGGAACACCAGUGGCGAAGGCGGCUACCUGGACCGGUUCUGACGCUGAGGCGCGAAAGCGUGGGGAGCAAACA